AACGAACGCUGGCGGCAUGCCUAACACAUGCAAGUCGAACGAGACCAUCGGGUCUAGUGGCGCAUGGGUGCGUAACGCGUGGGAACCUUCACUUAUGUUCGGAAUAACUCUCCGACAGGGGUGCUAACACCGGAUAAUGUCUUCUGACCAAAGAUUUAUCGCCCUUGGUUGGGCGCGCGUUGGAUUCGCUUGUGGGUAGGGUAAAAGCCUAACAAGGCGACGAUCCAUAGCUGGUCAGAGAGGAUGAUCAGCCACACUGGGACUGAGACACGGCCCAGACUCCUACGGGAGGCAGCAGUGGGGAAUAUUGGACAAUGGGCGAAAGCCUGAUCCAGCAAGGCCGCGUGAGUGAUGAUGGCCUUAGAGUAGUAAAGCUCUUUUAACCGGGAUGAUAAUGACAGUACCGGGAGAAUAAGCCCCGGCUAACUCCGUG
rnacentral:rRNA from 1 species